rnacentral:rRNA from 1 species
AAAGGUUAACAACUCACCUGCCGAAGCAACUAGCCCUGAAAAUGGAUGGCGCUCUAGCGUCGUGCCUAUACCGGGCCGUCAACGGCAAAGCGGGUCCCGCCCGCCCGGCCUGGCCGCGCCGGCGGGGCCGUUAGGCCUUGACGAGUAGGAGGAGCGCGGCGGUGUGCGCAGAAGGGUCUGGGCGCGAGCCUGCCUGGAGCCGCCGUCGGUGCAGAUCUUGGUGGUAGUAGCAAAUACUCUAGCGAGGGCCUGGAGGGCUGAUGUGGAGAAGGGUUUCUUGUGAACAGCCGUUGCACAAGAGUCAGUCGAACCUAAGCCCUAGGAGAAAUCCGAUGUUGAUGGGUAGCAAAAGCACGCAAUGACUGUGACGCGUUGUCGGAUGCUCCCGUCGGGCGAAAGGGAAUCCGGUUCCUAUUCCGGAACCCGGCUGCGGAACCGUAACUUCGCGGGCACUCGCCUGCGAGCGCUCGUCGGGGUAACCCAAAGUGGCCCGGAGACGCCGGCGGGAGGUCUGGGAAGAGUUGUCUUUUCUUUAUAAGCGUUCGAGUUCCCUGGAAUCCUAUAGCAGGGAGAUAGGGUUUGGAACGCGAAGAGCACCGCAGUUGCGGCGGUGUCCGGACCUUCCCCCCGGACCUUGAAAAUCCGGGUGAGGGCUACGCGGAAAGUCGCGCCGGCUCGUACCCAUAUCCGCAGCAGGUCUCCAAGGUUAAGAGCCUCUAGUCGAUAGAAUAAUGUAGGUAAGGGAAGUCGGCAAACUAGCCC